GUCUCAGAAUGACUCCCUUGAGAGUCCUGUUCCCGUUUCAUCAAUGCACAGACCCAGAAGACCCCUCCGUCAUGCAGCAUCUACCAUGAGCAUCAGCAUCCUGUGCUGUGCAGCCUUUUGUCUCCUGUGGGCAGGUCCAGUGAAUGCUGGUGUCACUCAGACCCCAAAAUUCCAGAUCCUGAAAACAGGACAGAGCAUGACACUGCAGUGUGCCCAGGAUAUGAACCAUGACUGCAUGUACUGGUAUCGACAAGACCCAGGCAUGGGGCUGAGGCUGAUUCAUUACUCAGUUGGUGAAGGUAGCACUGACAAAGGAGAAGUCCCCGAUGGCUACAAUGUCACCAGAUCAAACACAGAGGAUUUCCCACUCAGACUGGAGUCGGCUGCUCCCUCCCAGACAUCUGUGUACUUCUGUGCCAGCAGUUACUCCACAGCGUUACAAGGCUGCCUCCUCUCUGCACAUAAAGCCAGGCAGGCUCUGCCCUCCUCCCUCACCCAAAACUCAGGGAUGCCCUGAGCAGAGUUCUCUACACCAGAGUCCUUGGAACCCCGAAUGACCCCAAGUGGCCCAGGCAGUAUGAGCCUCGCUCUGUGCCAGGUGCCUCUGCAGGCAGUCUCAGCCAGGCCUGGACUGGUCCCAGGUCCUCAGAUGUCUCGUUUGUUGCUCUGUCUGUUCUUUUCUCAGAGCUCUCCUUUUGGGGUAGGGUGAGGGCUUCCCCAGCUCCUACUUUUCUACUCAUUAUCCUGAGUCCGAGGCCACCUGGAUAAAACAGGAUGUGUAUUUCAGAUCCAUCAAGACUCCCGUCUCUCUCUGGUGACCUUAUUGCUUCCUCUCUCUAGGGUUUCCCCCAGCCCCCCACCCUCACAUUGUCUCUCUUGUGGCCCACCUUUCCCAUCUGGGCAGUCACCCUCCAAGGCCUUGCUGGGUCUCUCCUCCCCCCACCUCCCUGCCGCUCUCUACUGCAGCCAUGAGGGGAGCCUCUCCUGUGCCUCCUUCAUUCCUAUCACAGAGACUUCAAAGCCCAUUUCCUCCGCACUUGGCUGGAGGCUUCCUUUCUGCA